GAUGAACGCUGACAGAAUGCUUAACACAUGCAAGUCGAUGGGGAAGUGGUGCUUGCACCAUGGCAACCAUGGCGGACGGGUGAGUAACGCGUAAGGGACUUACCUGCAGGACUGGGAUAACAGGGGGAAACUCCUGACAAGACCGGAUAAUGUCAUGGAGCUGCAUGGCUUUAUGAUGAAAGGAGACGCCUGCGGAGAGCCUUGCGUCCUAUUAGCUAGUUGGUGAGGUAAUGGCUCACCAAGGCGAAGAUAGGUAGCCGGCCUGAGAGGGUGGACGGCCACAAGGGGACUGAGAUACGGCCCAUACUCCUACGGGAGGCAGCAGUGGGGAAUAUUGGACAAUGGGGGCAACCCUGAUCCAGCAAUUCUGUGUGCACGAAGAAGGUUUUCGGAUUGUAAAGUGCUUUCAGCAGGGAAGAAGUAAGUGACGGUACCUGCAGAAGAAGCGACGGCUAAAUACGU
rnacentral:rRNA from 1 species